UUAUGUGUUAAAAAUAAAAUAAAUAUAAAAUUAUCCUUUAAAAAAAAUUCCAGCAACUUUAUAAAAGUCUAUCGUUUAGUUAUGGUAGAUUUAUUCUUAUUCUACAGACUUUUUUAACUGCGACAGAUUUUUUUAUGGCAGACCUUUUUGGUUGACAGACUUCUUAGAAGAUAGUGAUAACAGAUUUAUAAAUUAUAGCAGAUUUAAUUUGAUUGACAUAU
rnacentral:sRNA from 1 species